rnacentral:rRNA from 1 species
GAGUUUGAUCUUGGCUCAGAUUGAACGCUGGCGGCAGGCCUAACACAUGCAAGUCGAGCGGAUGACGGGAGCUUGCUCCUUGAUUCAGCGGCGGACGGGUGAGUAAUGCCUGGGAAUCUGCCUGGUAGUGGGGGACAACGUUUCGAAAGGAACGCUAAUACCGCAUACGUCCUACGGGAGAAAGCAGGGGACCUUCGGGCCUUGCGCUAUCAGAUGAGCCUAGGUCGGAUUAGCUAGUUGGUGGGGUAAUGGCUCACCGAGGCGACGAUCCGUAACUGGUCUGAGAGGAUGAUCAGUCACACUGGAACUGAGACACGGUCCAGACUCCUACGGGAGGCAGCAGUGGGGAAUAUUGGACAAUGGGCGAAAGCCUGAUCCAGCCAUGCCGCGUGUGAAGAAGGUACUUCGGAUUGUAAAGCACUUUAAGUUGGGAGGAAGGGCAGUAAGUUAAUACCUUGCUGUUUGACGUUACCGACAGAAUAAGCACCGGCUAACUCUGUGCCAGCCGCCGC